GGAGAGUUGUCCGAGUGGUUGAAGGAGCACGCCUGGAAAGUGUGUAUAGGGGGCAACUCCUAUCGGGAGUUCGAAUCUCCCACUCUCCGCCA
rnacentral:tRNA from 1 species